GGAAUGAGGAGGAAAGGAAAGCAUAUUAUAAUAAUUAUAUACCUGGCAGAUUAAAAGAUUGCCGAGGAAAACAAGAAAGAAAGAGAUUAUUGAUGAUCCGAAGAAGCUGUUCUGUCUGAAUUCCUCGCAACAAGAAGAAGAUGAUACAUUGGUUUAAGCAGCUGCGAUAUGAUCAGCGUUUGGCGUCGCGUUUCUAUGGCUCGUUUGUCUUAUUUACUUCACUCAGGGAUUUAGAUCUUUCGGAUGGACAGAUGUUUCAUACCAGCUCAAAGACAGGCUUCUGUUAUCACCAUCAGCUUCUCAGUUUGUCUAUUCUGUUGCCUUCUUCCCAUGGAGCAUUAAACCAUUAUACGGAAUCAUCUCAGAUUGUAUACCAAUAGGAGGUAAAAAGAGGACGCCGUAUCUGUUGAUAUCCAUGAAUAUUGGAUCAGCCAUGGCUGAUGUUGUCAUAGAUGCCACGAUAGCUGAGGCAGUAAGAGCUGAGAGUCUGUUUCAGGGUGUGCUAUGGCUGUUGGUGGAAUAUGCGGUAGUUUAUUAGGAGGCUAUGCGUUGAACAAUUUUAAGAUGGAAACAAUCUGCCUCCUCUUCACGGUACUACCUGCUUUACAACUACUAUCAAGUAUUUUUAAUUAAUACGAUAACAUUAAAAAUAAAAUAUUUUUAUUAUAAAGUAAUCUAUUAUUAAAUCUGUAUAAGUUGGGCUUUUUGCAAAAGUGACUCAAAACUUGAAGUCAAACAGAAAACUAACCUUUUCUUUUGACUCCUUUUUUUUUGAGAUUUUAA